rnacentral:rRNA from 1 species
GACGAACGCUGGCGGCGUGCUUAACACAUGCAAGUCGAACGGUGAAGCGCCUUCCUUUUUGGUGGGUGUGGAUGAGUGGCGAACGGGUGAGUAACACGUGAGUAACCUGCCCCCUUCUUCUGGAUAACCGCAUGAAAGUGCGGCUAACACGGGAUAUUCUGGGUCUGUCGCAUGAUGGGUCUGGGAAAGUUAUUGUUUCGGUGGGGGAUGGGCUCGCGGCCUAUCAGCUUGUUGGUGGGGUGAUGGCCUACCAAGGCGGUGACGGGUAGCCGGCCUGAGGGGGUUGACGGUCUGGCUGGGGAGGAGGAUCGGCCAAGACUCCUACGGGAGGCGGCAGAGAAGAAUAUGGGAGAGGGGGCGGGAGACUGUUGCAGCGACGCCGCGAGAGGGAUGGAGGCCUGCGGGUUGUGAACCUCUUUCGCCAGUGAAGCAGGGCUGCCUCGUCUGUGAGUAGGUUGACGGUAGCUGGAGAAGAAGCGCCGGCUAACUACGUG